rnacentral:rRNA from 1 species
GACGAACGCUGGCGGCGUGCCUAACACAUGCAAGUGGAGCGACGAACCAGGCUUCGGCCUGGGGCAAAGCCGCGAACGGGUGAGUAACACGUGGGUAACCUGCCCUGAUGAUUGGGACAACCCGAGGAAACUCGGGGCUAAUACCGAAUGUGCCCUCCGGCCUCAAGGCCGCUGGGGAAAGGAAGCUUCGGCCUCCGCAUCGGGAUGGGCCCGCGGCCCAUUAGCUUGUUGGUGAGGUAACGGCNCACCAAGGCGACGAUGGGUAGCUGGUCUGAGAGGACGAUCAGCCACACUGGGACUGAGACACGGCCCAGACUCCUACGGGAGGCAGCAGUGGGGAAUCUUGCGCAAUGCGCGAAAGCGUGACGCAGCAACGCCGCGUGGGGGAAGAAGGCCU